CUCAAAGCCUGGUUAGUCGUUAGACAUAUGAAACAGCAUUACGAGAUCUCUAAGCUUUCAUUCUCAGACAUCUAAGAAUUAACCCACAGGUGAAGAUCAAUGGCGGGUGCCACCUCCGCGCUGUUUCUUCUUGAUAUGAAAGGCAGAUGCCUUAUAUGUCGUGACUAUAGAGGCGAUGUUUCUGCUCAACAAGUCGAGAAAUUCUUUUCUAAGCUCCUCGAAAAAGAGGGUGACGUAGAAUCUGAUGGACCAGUAUGCUACGAAAAUGGCGUGAAUUACAUGUUUAUACAACACAACAACAUUUACCUGAUGGCAGCAUCGAGGCAGAAUUCUAAUGCUGCUAGCCUCCUUUUGUUUCUACAUCGUGUAGUUGAUGUCUUUAAGCACUAUUUUGAAGAAGUGGAAGAGGAGUCUCUACGAGAUAACUUUGUUGUUGUGUAUGAAUUGCUUGAUGAAAUGAUGGACUUUGGUUACCCUCAAUAUACGGAAGCUAAGAUUCUUAGUGAGUUUAUCAAGACGGAUGCAUACAGAAUGGAAGUCACCCAACACCCUCCAAUGGCCGUAACAAAUGCAGUUUCGUGGCGCAGUGAGGGGGUAUUUUAUAAGAAUAAUGAAGUAUAUUUGGAUGUGGUCGAACAUGUUAAUCUCCUUGUCAACAGCAAUGGCCAGUUAAUACGUUCUGAAGUUAAUGGGGCGUUAAAGAUGAGAGCUUAUUUGAGUGGCAUGCCUGAGUGCAAGCUUGGGCUGAAUGACAGAUUAAUAUUGGAGGCUCAAGGUCGACCUACCAAAGGCAAAUCCAUUGAUUUGGAUGAUAUCAAAUUUCAUCAGUGUGUGCGUUUGGCUCGUUUUGAAAAUGAUCGCACAAUAUCUUUUAUACCUCCUGAUGGAUCAUUUGAUCUGAUGACAUAUAGACUCAGUACUCAGGUGAAGCCACUGAUUUGGGUAGAAGCUCAAGUUGAAAGGCAUUCAAGAAGCCGGGUUGAGAUGUCUGUCAAAGCCAGAAGCCAGUUUAAGGAGCGUAGCACUGCUACAAAUGUGGAAAUUGAGUUGCCUGUGCCAUCUGAUGCGAUGAAUCCCAAUAUACGAACAUCCAUGGGAUAUGCUAAAUAUGCUCCUGAGAGAGAUGCUGUGGUAUGGAAAAUAAAGUCAUUCCCCGGUAAUAAGGAUUAUAUGCUGAGGGCAGAGUUUAGACUUCCAAGUGUAAUAUCUGAAGAUACACCUCCUGACAGAAAAGCUCCAAUCCGUGUGAAGUUUGAGAUACCAUAUUUUACUGUCUCAGGAAUUCAGGUUCGUUAUCUCAAAAUUAUUGAAAAAAGCGGAUAUCAAGCUCUUCCAUGGGUGAGGUACAUAACAAUGGCUGGUGAGUACGAACUAAGGCUAAUAUGAGCAGGACUCAUCAUUGUGGCGCGCUGCACUGUGCACUGGUGAAAUGUAAGCUAUUCUGUGAUGCAGCCUCUGCUGUGUGGAUCCCCCCUUUCUCCUACUUGGUUCGAGAAAUAUAGCAAUGUGUUCAGUGAUGUUUGCUCUUUCAUUCUCUUUUACUGUUCUUUUUUGCCAAAAUGGUUUAAGAUAUUGCAAGCAGAGCACACGAAACUUAUCCCGAAAAUAGAGAAAUAAAAUAAGAUCAUAAGGAAUUUUUCUGUAAUUCGAUUGUUAGAUGUUGAAUCAUAAGCUGAUCAUUUAGCAAAGAGAGGCAGAAAGUUUCAAUUCGAUAACCUAGAAUUGAGACCUACCACAUUUCUCCGUUUUGCAUGUCAUUCCAGCGCAUU